rnacentral:rRNA from 1 species
GACGAACGCUGGCGGCGUGCUUAACACAUGCAAGUCGAACGAAGAGCGAUGGACGCUUGCUUCUAUCAAUCUUAGUGGCGAACGGGUGAGUAACGCGUAAUCAACCUGCCCUUCAGAGGGGGACAACAGGUGGAAACGACUGCUAAUACCGAAUACAAUCUAAUCUCGGCAUCGGGGAUAGAUGAAAGGUGGCCUCAACUGUUAAGCAAUCACGGAAGGAGGGGAGUGCGUCUGAUUAGCUAGUUGGAGGGGUAACGUCCCACAAAGGCGAUGAUCAGUAGCCGGUCGGAGAGGAUGAACGGCCACAUUGGGACUGAGACACGUCCCAGACUCCUACGGGAGGCAGCAGUGGGGAAUCUUCCGCAAUGGACGAAAGUCUGACGGAGCAACGCCGCGGGAGUGAUGACGGCCUUCGGGUUGUAAAGCUCUGUUAAUCGGGACGAAAGGCCUUCUUGCGAAUAGUGAGAAGGAUUGACGGUACCGGAAUAGAAAGCCACGGCUAACUACGUG